UAGUGGGACAGGCUGAGGACCUUUCAGCUUCUAGCCUGCCACAGCAGUAACAUGGAGGUUUGAUUGCAGGGUCCAGUCAAGAGAUGGAUGGGCCUUGUUCUGUAGGAUGGGAAGACACUCUGUAGCCUUGGGACUCAACCUUGGGCAAAGCAGGCCUUGAGGCUCCGUAGGGUGACUAUGUUAGAGCCAGUCUUGGGGGACCUGCCGGUGGGAGGGGACUGCCACAUAUUUACUCAACCUCCUGAGUCCAUCUGGCUUGGUUGUGACACUAGCUCGGUGCUUCCCCCCAGCUAACGGCCACAAGCCCAGCGAGCCCCAGGUUCCUCUUUGCUUAGCCUCCCACACAGAGGUCUGUUGAGCCGUGCUUCCAUUACCCUGACCUUGGGGGUCACAACAAACUGGUGCCCCCAUCCUCCCCAGGAGAAGUGACUGUUGAAUGAAUAAAUGAGUGCCUGGAUGGACGCAGUACAUAAAUGGAUGAGGAUUAUAUGGGGAUGUCCCUAGGUCCCAGAGUCUUGGGGCACAUUGUGUCAGCAAAGAAGAGCUGAUGGAUGGUCAGCAAGCAGCCUGAAGAGAGGCUGGGGAACAGAAAUGAGGUCAUUUACCAGUUACCCAGUUGCCUGGACACCCUCAAGAGUCUGCCUUGGAUGUUUCCAUAAGCAACCAGGCCUGCAUACCCUGCCACCGCAUACUGCCCAGGCAUGUAAGGUCAUCCAAGCUUUCCAACGUGUCCACAGCAAUGGCAGCAGAACCUUUUGCUACACUUGACCCUUGACCCUUGGUCAGGCCCAUUCUCACUCUCGGCCUGUUCAGCAAACUGUGGAUAUGAAAUCAAUAGAAACCCCUCAGGACUGACUUAGGGUAGAGGUUUGGAGACUGACCACACCACAUGUGGCCGAUCUUCACCUCAGACCCCAGUGUCCCCUGAAGGCCCUUCUCCCAUACUCUUCUCAGGCUUGUCCAUUAGAACGAAUGGCUGUGCAGGGUCACCAUGGGAACAACUGAGACAUUUUUCAAAGGGCAGCUGAGUGGUCACUCAGCACCAGGUGCAGUCUGGAAGCCAGAGGCCACAAAUCCAGCACUCUGAACUGGUGUUUUCCUCUCUGACUAGAUGUCUACUGGCGAUCUUGAAUGUUCUGUGGCCAGAGAGCAAUUGAGUGUCCACUGAGCGCCAGGUACACGGUGGGAGCCAGAGAAUACAAACAACAUUCUGAACUGAUCUCUUUCCAUGUGAUCAAGAUUGUUUGUUGGGUGUUCUCGAGCAUUCUGUGGUCUGGCAAGUUGACACAUUAUAUAAUUCAUCAAUGCUGAAGAAAGGACCUCUGCUCGCUCCGGUCAACUCUGCUUCGGUCAGACCUGCUGGCUCACUCCGACCCAAAGAUCUAUUAUUAUAUUGUCCAGUUCAGGGGUGAGGACAGGGAGCUGCUAUCAAAUGAGGGGUGCCUGGAGCACCCUCAAAGAGUUCCUGGAGCUUGGACCUCUCAGACCAGCCAGGCUGGAGAAGGACCCAAGGCCAGCUGCUUUCUCUCUGGAGCGCAGUCUUUGACUUGUACAGCCUGGAGGUUGUGUGACUCGUGGUUGGGCCUGUUUGGGAUAUACAGAUGACUCUUCAUAGAGAAGGCUUUGCCUCCUGGGUGAGCCCCUUGCUUCUUAGAGCUGGGCUGAGAGAAGCCCCAACUCUGCCACUGGAGUGCCUCCCUGCCCCCAUACUGGAUUGAACUCCACUGAAAACACUCACCAAGCUCAGCCUGUUUGGUGGCCCUCUUCCUGCCUGCCUUCCCUCGCUUAAACACAGUGUUUGUCAGCCAGCCUGCCCUGCUGAGCCAGUUCUCUUUUCAAGACCUCUGUGGAGAGUGUCACCUACAGACAAACUGUCCUCCCUCAACCAGCUUGCAGGUGGCCGAGGCCGGAUGCAUCCCCAGACCAGACCAGCCCAACCCUGGGGACAAGCCCUGAGCUGCCCUGGCACAGAAUUUCCAACAGAACAAGACCGCCUGACAGUAUUGAUGGCCUUUCCAGGCUGGGACGGACUAGGCUAGGCUGAGGAGAGGGGGUGCCUGUCUUUCCUAUCAUGUCUUCAUCCUGUUCUGGAUAGCCUCUGUCUUCAUCCUGUCCUGGAUGACCUCUGUCAUCAUCCUGUCCUGGAUGGCCUCUGUCUUCUUCAUCCUGUCCUGGAUGGCCUGAGGACUGGGGUUGUGGAAUGGUGACAGGAAGAGAGACUCAGGCAGAUGGACAUGCCUGUGGCCUCAGGCUGAGACUUCCCGGGGGACAGAGGCCUGGACAGGCAGUGUCCCUCUUAACAUCAAGCUCCCUCCAACAUGGUCCUCAAACACCAACCUCUGACACAACAUGGAGCCCAGGUCAGAGCUGCAGUCCAAUCUAGAGGAGCUGAGGAGGGGAGGAGGGUGGCUCACUGAGGGGCGCUUCUCUUGUCUCUCUUCCCAGGCCGGUAGGGAGAGAAAACUGAGAUGUGGAAAGCUCUGGAGGAGACCUGGAGACCAAGCAAAAUCUUCCCAUGACUUGGGCGCACUGGGAAUAAAACUAACAUUUGA